CCUACGGGAGGCAGCAGUGAGGAAUAUUGCACAAUGGGCGAAAGCCUGAUGCAGCAACGCCGCGUGAGGGACGAAGGCCUUCGGGUUGUAAACCUCUUUUCUGAGAGACGAGACAAGGACGGUACCUCAGGAAUAAGUCUCGGCUAACUACGUGCCAGCAGCCGCGGUAAGACGUAGGAGGCGAGCGUUAUCCGGAUUUACUGGGCGUAAAGCGCACGCAGGCGGCUUCGUUAGUCGGAUGUGAAAGCUCCUGGCUUAACUGGGAGAGGCCAUUCGAUACUGCGAGGCUUGAGGUUGGGAGAGGGGUGUGGAAUUCCCGGUGUAGUGGUGGAAUGCGUAGAUAUCGGGAGGAACACCUGUGGCGAAAGCGGCACCCUGGCCCACACCUGACGCUGAGGUGCGAAAGCGUGGGUAGCAAACAGGAUUAGAUACCCUGGUAGUCCACGCCGUAAACGAUGUCAACUGGGUGUCGGUGGUUUUACACUAUCGGUGCCGAAGCAAACGCGUUAAGUUGACCGCCUGGGGACUACGGCCGCAAGGCUAAAACUCAAAGGAAUUGACG
rnacentral:rRNA from 1 species